rnacentral:miRNA from 1 species
AACCAUAUCGCGUUUGGGAUGC